CUUUUUGAAGGGUUCUUGGCUGGAGUCUUCUCAGGAGUCUUGGCCGCAGGUUUUUCUGGAGUCUUGUCUGCUGUUUUAAAGAAGCAGACAAGGAAGAUGAGCGACGCAGCGAACUUGUUUGCUGGCAUGGUGUCGCAUCAGAUCAAGCGUUGUAAAGUCGAAACUGAAGUCAGAAAGUUGAAACAGGGUGUCAAUUUAGAAAUGUUGUAACUGCCAAACGUAACUCACAACAUUGUAAGUCGAGGACUGCCUGUACUCCCUAGGGCUUUCCCAAGGUCCCCCUGCCUUAGCAGAUGCACAAAGCACUUUGAAUGCGCAGUUGUUAACCUGAACUUCAACUAGAAGCUGGGGGAGGGGAGUGGAAUCCCCAGUUUGGUUUUAUGGUUAUAUAUAACCUCCCACAGUGGGGUGCUAGUCCAUGAAGCAGCCAGGUGCUACUUCAAUACAGAGCAUCAUAAAAAAAGUAGUAUAGUUCUUGGGCCCUGUGCAACCAGUAAAACUCACUGCUGUGCCGCCUUUGGCACAACUCUACAUCGAGGCUUAACAGCAGGUUGGGUGAAUCGGUUGAUGCUGCUGUAACUGGGUGUUGUGGCCUAUGUGGUUGCGAGCAUCCAUUCCUUGCUAGUGUGCAAAGGCACAGGGAUAUCUAUGAAAACUGGAGCUUCGCUUCAUCAUGGCUUCCUGGACAAAGUAGGAAAGACCUGUCAGAGUGGACAAUAAGAGUCAUUCAUAUGACUGUAUCAAAUACAGUCAUUGGUGGAUACUGGUACUUAAUUCUUCAACAUUUCCAAACAGCAGAAAAACAGCAUGUAGCUACAUCUUAGCUGCUUUGGAAAAAAUACUUUGUGUCUUAAGGAAAUGUAAUAUACAAGAUAUUAUUUCAGUAAUGCUGACCAGAUUGGAACUACAGACCAAUGUAUGACUACUCUGUGCCACUUAAUAGCAUAAUGGAAAUUUGGCAAACUUACAGACAAACUUAUUAGAGUCCUUAUAAUAUUAGGCAGCAAAGAUAAUGAAGCAAGAGUGCAUAUGUUGUGACAGGCAGAACAGAAAGUUCUUGCUAUUGAUAAAUGCUGCAGUGGCAAACAAGUAAAAGAAUAAGUCACAGAAUAUUCAAGCAUUAAAUAUUGAGAAAAUGUAUCCAACACAGGAAAUACAGGUAAACACAGAGUGAAAUAGUUGUGGUCCUCAGAAAAAAAGUAAGCAAUGUCUACAUUGCAGGAGAAAAAAUGAAAAUGACAUAUGCCUGGCAUAUGGUGCCACAUGGGUUUAUUGCAAGAAAAGAAAUUGUUUUGCAGAAGUUUGCAAACAGAGACAGAAGCAAUCUUACAAUAUUCACUGAGUGGAGAGUGACAAAAGUACCUCUCUAAAUGAAUUUCAUUGCAAAUUAGACCUGCAGCUGUAAAAAUGUUGGGGAAAACAGUGAUUUUGCCCACCUAGAACUGAAAGCAUCACCUCAGAGAUUCCACUGUUAGACUGACAGUGAUUCUAUCUGCACCAUAAUGAGCUGCAAAGAUUACUACAAAUGUGGACAAGAUAAAUCAUCCAAACUCCAGGCUCAAGUUCUAGAGCAGGAGUAUCUUCUGGGACAAUGCAUACAAAAUCUACCCUGAGAGGUAGUUGUUAAAGCAGCCAUACUGCAGAAUAGCAGUUCUGAAUAAUUAACUUAAAAAAACCCUGGAUAACAUUGUGGAUUUGAGAGUCCAAGAGAAAGUUACAUGAUCUCCAGACUGGAGUCACAUUAGAUGAAAAGAUGGUUUCUGGCAAGUAAAACUUGAUGAAAGAAGCUGAACUUUGAUGGAUUUCUGAAUUCAUUUUGCCAGCAGUAUGACAAUUGUGGUACAACAAUUUUCUUAUUUGUACAGAAAAUUCAACCCUUGCACCAUGUAUGCCAUAAUUGAAAAAGUGGUCCAAUGUGGAAUGAUUCAGGAAGAUACAAAGAGUGCUCCCAUUUGAAAGAGACAUUCCAUAUUCAAUCAAUUUUCCAUCUUCAGACAACCUUAAAUUGUCUUUAUAUUGUCUUGCAUGUGGUAGGCUCAAUGGAGGGUGCUGCAUAUGAAAACUAUGAAAGCUUGGAUAGUGUAUAAAACAACGGCUGGGGCAAGACUGGAUUGUGGUAACAAGACUGCCACAAUAAAAUCAAACUCCACUAAUGGCUUGCAACCCAUUAGGCAUCAAGACAGUAGAGUGCUUGUGGUACCCAAUACCAGACCCAUGACAUAAAAUAAUAAAAGUGAUUAAAAUUAUUGGCAGUGCACGGAGUGCAGAAAAACACAGUCUUCAUACCUAGACAAAUCCAGAAGAGCUAGGCAAUUUAACAAUUGUCAUAUGAUGGUCAUCCUUUUUUUUCCUGUUUGUUCAGCCUUUAAUUGACCAACCAUCAAGGAAAAAUUCUUUGAAGCUAUAUGUAACAGGGUGAAGAUUAACUUUGUUCCUAAGGGGAGGUUAAAGGGGCUCAGCGGAUGAGCAGUAAAGAGAACACGGGCCAAAGACAGGGCAAGAGCAAUUACACACAAGGUUCAGCUGAGGGGGUAGCACACUGGGAAACAAUUAGAACUCCAUGAUUGACCUGGCGGUUGGCAGCGAAUGAAAGGACUGGGAAAGCAGCAGUUCCUUGCGCCCUGGUGCACCACGGGAGACAGAGAGGAAUGGCGAGGAAGGCCAGCACAGAGAAAAGAGAUGGCAGAGAAACUGCUGAACGGAGAAAUGCCAGAGUUGGGCUCAGUGAGUGAGGAUAUAACCAUGGUGAGAUCCACUCAUAAAGACGUGAGGAAAGAAAAGGUACUUACCUUCAUAGAGACCAACAGUGGGGAUGAUUCCCAGUGAGGAAUGUUGGGAUGACUGGUGGAGAAAAGAAAUUAUUAAGGAGCCGACCUACAGGCAGGGAGCCCAAGGGGACGGGGAGGGAGCACGGAUGUCAGCUGGUCAGUUAUCUAGCCGCUGCUAGAGAUUUACAGGGAACACCACAAUAAACCAAUUAACUUUUGCUUUCUGUGUGGGGUGAUUGACUAACCUACAUCUUGUUGGGGAAUUUACUUUCUCAUUUUUCCAUCAAAUCAAAGCAUGGCAGGAAAGCCCCCGGGGAGAGAAUUCAUUAAUCACUUGGAACCCCCCCACACUAUACAAUUAAACAGUAUAAAAACUAAGCAGAUUUGCCAGCAAGGUAUGUACAGCCCGGACCAAGAAGCCAUCCUGCCACCCAGCCAACAAGUGAAGGACCCACGCUUAGAAGCUGUACAACAACUGCUUCCUGCCUGCAUUGGAUACUGUUUGGCAGGCAGAGAUGACUCCAGAAUAAGGCAAUGCUAGAAGGACUUGAGGGACAGGGGUAAUUGCAGGUGCCUGAAUUAGAGCUGGAAGCAGGUAUCAUUAUCCACUCAGGAUCCAGAACUCAGAGGCCUCUCCUGCCAUUUCCAGGAAAAGACAGACCCCAGAUGGAGGUGGCAGCACCUGCUUUGUCAACACAGCCUGUUGUUCUGAAAGCCAGAGGAAGGGGAGGAGGAGUUUGGGGGAGAGCACAGCAGCAUUUCCCUGGGUUGAACCAUAGUCUCACUGGGCCUGUGAGAAUCCCAGGGCAUCUCUCCAGGCUUGCUGGGUGAGUGCUGCCUGCUGAGCAUAUGCAUCCCAGUGGCAACCUCCCAGCAGCUUCUGCCACCUCCCCAUCAAGUUGUAAGAAAGUUGUCUGGCAGAAGAAAUGACCCAAGCUGCAUAAUCAAGACUUUUCCUAGGACUCAGACAGCAGCAGAUCAAGGAUGCCGAGUACUCCACCCCCAGCUCCGGUGGCUUCCUGUCCUUAGCACUGUCCAUCUCCCUUUGGAGUUCUUGUCUCAGACAUUGUUUCCAUGUUACACUCGCUUUCUCAUAGCCCACCAUUAAUAACUCUCAGCACUGCUGGCUUAGCCAGG